CCUUCUUUUACAAAGAAACACGUAGAUCUUUUGUUCCCCCUAGAUUUUGCCGAAGACUUUCCAGUUGCAAUGCAGAUAUCCCACAAAUACAGUUUGAUCUACGUGAUCACCGAGCUUGGGCUAUUAUUUGUUUAUGACUUGGAGACCGCUACUGCAGUUUAUAGAAAUAGAAUCUGUCCAGAUCCAAUAUUUUUGACAGCAGCUUCACCAGUGGGAGGUUUUUUAUGCAAUCAAUAGGCAUGGACAGUUGUUAUUGCCUACUGUAAAUGAUCAAACAAUUGUACCAUUUGUCGUGGCCAGUUCAACAAUUUGGAGCUUGCUGUCAAUCUUGCCAAAAGAGAUAAUCUUCCUGGAGCCAAGAAGCUUGUUGUCCAACGUUUCCAAGAACUAUUUUCCCAAACAAAGUACAAAGAAGCUGCAGAACUUGCCGCCGAGUCCCCCCAAGGAAUCCUCCGAACACCAGACACAGUUGCCAAAUU